UAGACCUCGUAGAAGCGAGAGGCCUUAUGCAUUUGGUCUUGCUGUAGAGAUUUCAAGGAAAAGCCAUGGUGCUUACUCACAGGAAACUAGUGAAGAAAAACAAACACAACUUGCCUAGAGAACUAAGGAAGUCAGCAACUAAUCACUGCCCCUGUGAUGGAUGAAUUUUUACUAUUAUCAGUGUCUUGGCUCCAUGAAGGUAUGAUAAGGCAAACAAUUGGAAAGUGGUGCACUCUCAGCCACACUGAAGCAUUAUUCUUUCAAGUCCUCUUAGAUAAAUUUUCUGCUGUCUAUGUGAACUAGCAGUAGCCAUCUAUAUAUUGUUAAAACAUCAAGUUCAAAUCCCCACUUAUCC